UACGUAGGAUGCGAGCGUUAAUCGGAAUUACUGGGCGUAAAGCGUGCGCAGGCGGUUUUGUAAGCCAGAUGUGAAAUCCCCGGGCUUAACCUGGGAAUGGCAUUUGGGACUGCAAGGCUUGAGUGCGGCAGAGGAGACUGGAAUUCCUGGUGUAGCAGUGAAAUGCGUAGAUAUCAGGAGGAAUACCGAUGGCGAAGGCAGGUCUCUGGGCUGACACUGACGCUCAUGCACGAAAGCGUGGGGAGCAAACAGG
rnacentral:rRNA from 1 species